GACAAAACUACGCCUCAGCUCGCCGUGGAAACAAUUAUUGUCAUGGCCUGCCAAUAACUGAAUCAACAUUAAAAAUACAUAAUUACAUUAUUGGCAUUAAGAUUUAUCAGAAUUGUCUAUAUAACCAAAUUGAGAUUUUAAUUAGACUAUAGAGAUGCCAAAAAAAUCAAAUUCAUUUUCUGAUUUAAAUCUGAUAGAAGCCAUAAAGGCAGUAGACAAUGGAAUUUCUAAAAAAGCUGCUGCCAAACAAUUUGGAGUUGCUAGGUCAACUCUACAAUUUAGAAUAAAACAUAGGGAUAAAGAAACAUUUUCAUGUGGACCUUCAAGUGUUUUGAGUGUUGAAGAAGAGA